rnacentral:rRNA from 1 species
AUUGAACGCUGGCGGCAUGCCUUACACAUGCAAGUCGAACGGCAGCACGGGAGCAAUCCUGGUGGCGAGUGGCGAACGGGUGAGUAAAGUAUCGGAACGUGCCCAGUCGUGGGGGAUAACGUAGCGAAAGUUACGCUAAUACCGCAUACGAUCUAUGGAUGAAAGCGGGGGAUCGCAAGACCUCGCGCGAUUGGAGCGGCCGAUAUCAGAUUAGGUAGUUGGUGGGGUAAAGGCUCACCAAGCCGACGAUCUGUAGCUGGUCUGAGAGGACGACCAGCCACACUGGGACUGAGACACGGCCCAGACUCCGACGGGAGGCAGCAGUGGGGAAUUUUGGACAAUGGGCGAAAGCCUGAUCCAGCCAUGCCGCGUGCAGGAUGAAGGCCUUCGGGUUGUAAACUGCUUUUGUACGGAACGAAAAGGUUUGGCCUAAUAAGCUGAGCUCAUGACGGUACCGUAAGAAUAAGCACCGGCUAACUACGUGCCAGCAGCAGCCGCGGUAA